rnacentral:rRNA from 1 species
AUUGAACGCUGGCGGCAUGCCUUACACAUGCAAGUCGAACGGCAGCACGGGAGCUUGCUCCUGGUGGCGAGUGGCGAACGGGUGAGUAAUACAUCGGAACGUACCCAGUAGUGGGGGAUAACGCACCGAAAGGGGCGCUAAUACCGCAUACGACCUACGGGUGAAAGCGGGGGCGCGUAAGGCCACGCCCGAUGGGAGCGGCCGAUGUCUGAUUAGCUAGUUGGUGAGGUAAAGGCUCACCAAGGCUUCGAUCAGUAGCUGGUCUGAGAGGACGAUCAGCCACACUGGGACUGAGACACGGCCCAGACUCCUACGGGAGGCAGCAGUGGGGAAUUUUGGACAAUGGGCGAAAGCCUGAUCCAGCAAUGCCGCGUGUGCGAAGAAGGCCUUCGGGUUGUAAAGCACUUUUGUCAGGGAAGAAAUCUUUUAGGCUAAUACCCUGGAAGGAUGACGGUACCUGAAGAAUAAGCACCGGCUAACUACGUGCCAGCCGCCGCAGUAA